AAUAGAUACCCGGGUAGUCCACGCCGUAAACGUUGGGCACUAGGUGUGGGUCUCAACCAACGAGAUCCGCGCCGUCGCUAACGCAUUAAGUGCCCCGCCUGGGGAGUACGGUCGCAAGACUAAAACUCAAAGGAAUUGACGGGGGCCCGCACAAGCAGCGGAGCGUGUUGCUUAAUUCGAUGCAACGCGAAGAACCUUACCUGGGUUUGACAUGUACCGAAAAGCUCUAGAGAUAGGGUGUCCUUCGGGGCGGUACACAGGUGGUGCAUGGUUGUCGUCAGCUCGUGUCGUGAGAUGUUGGGUUAAGUCCCGCAACGAGCGCAACCCUUAUCCUAUGUUGCCAGCAAGUAAUGUUGGGGACUCGUAGGAGACUGCCGGGGUCAACUCGGAGGAAGGUGGGGAUGACGUCAAGUCAUCAUGCCCCUUAUGCCCAGGGCUGCAAACACGCUACAAUGGCCGGUACAGAGGGCUGCGAUCUCGCGAGAGUGAGCGAAUCCCACAAAGCCGGUCUCAGUUCGGAUUGGAGU
rnacentral:rRNA from 1 species